rnacentral:rRNA from 1 species
CAGCCGCCGCGGUAAUACCGGCGGCCCGAGUGGUGGCCGCUAUUAUUGGGCCUAAAGCGUCCGUAGCCGGGCCCGUAAGUCCCUGGCGAAAUCCCACGGCUCAACCGUGGGGCUUGCUGGGGAUACUGCGGGCCUUGGGACCGGGAGAGGCCGAGGGUAUUCCCGGGGUAGGGGUGAAAUCCUGUAAUCCCGGGAGGACCACCUGUGGCGAAGGCGCUCGGCUGGAACGGGUCCGACGGUGAGGGACGAAGGCCAGGGGAGCGAACCGGAUUAGAUACCCGGGUAGUCCUGGCUGUAAACGAUGCGGACUAGGUGUCGGGCAAGCUAAGGGCUUGUCCGGUGCCGCAGGGAAGCCGUUAAGUCCGCCGCCUGGGGAGUACGGCCGCAAGGCUGAAACUUAAAGGAAUUGGGGG